CUUGUACUCCCUCCUUCUGAAAAUACUUGUCAUUGAAAUGAAUGUAUCUAGAUGUAUUUUAGUUCUAGACACAUCCAUUUUGAUGACAAGUAAUUCCGGACGGAGGGAGUACUUG
rnacentral:pre_miRNA from 1 species